GGUUUCCGUAGGUGAACCUGCGGAAGGAUCAUUAUUGAAAUAAACCUGAUGGGUUGCUGCUGGUUCUCUAGGGGACAUGUGCACACUUGUCAUCUUUAUAUCUCCACCUGUGCACUUAUUGUAGACCUGGAUUGAGGAUUGACCUCUUGGUCUCUCCUUACAUUCCAGGCCUAUGUUUCUUCAUAUAACCCCAUGUAUGUUUAUAGAAUGUAAUAAAUGGGCCUUUGUGCCUAUAAACCUUAUACAACUUUCAGCAACGGAUCUCUUGGCUCUCGCAUCGAUGAAGAACGCAGCGAAAUGCGAUAAGUAAUGUGAAUUGCAGAAUUCAGUGAAUCAUCGAAUCUUUGAACGCACCUUGCGCUCCUUGGUAUUCCGAGGAGCAUGCCUGUUUGAGUGUCAUUAAUAUAUCAACCUCUUCAGCUGUUGCUUGUCGAGUGUUGGAUGUGGGGGGUUAUUUUUUUGCUGGCCUUUCUCGUGAGGUCAGCUCCCCUGAAAUACAUUAGCGGAACAAUUUGUUUGACUGUUCAUUGGUGUGAUAACUAUCUAUGCUAUUGACAUCAAGCAAGUUCAGCUUCUAACAGUCCAUUAAAUUGGAUAAUUUUCAUUUAUUAAUGUGACCUCAAA
rnacentral:rRNA from 1 species